GACUACGGCCAUGCCACCCUGAAUAUGCCCGAUCCCGUCUGAUCUCGGAAGCUAAGGAGGGUUGGGCCUGGUUAGUACUUGGAUGGGAGACCACCUAGGAAUACCAGGGGCUGUAGACA
rnacentral:rRNA from 1 species